GCCCUGCUGCCCUGUAGUCCUGCUGGGGUGCCAUACCUGUUGCCCUGACGCCCUGCAAGAUCUGCAGCCCUGCCUCCCUGCUGCCCUGUAGCAUUGCUGCCCUGCUGCCCUGCUGCUCUUCUGCCCUGCAACCCUGCCUACCUACUGCCUUGCAUCCCUGCCGCACUGUGAGGCUUGUAGCAUUGCCGCCCUACACCCUGAACCCUGCAGCCCUGGGAGGCCUGUAGCCCUGCAGCCCUGCUGCUCUUCAGCCCUUCUGCCCUGCUGUCCUGCAUCCCUGAUGCCCUGUUGCCAUGCAGCCCUCCGAGGCCUGCCACCCUUCCACCCUGCUGCCCUACCUCCCUGCAGCCCUGCCGCCCUGGUAGGCCUACAGCCAUGCCGCCCUGCUGCCUGGCCACUCAGUGACCCUGAGAGGCCUGCAGCCCUGCCGCAAUGCUUCCCUGCUGCCUUGCCACCCUGCUACCCUGCAGCCCUUCCAGCAUGCUUCUCUGCAGCCCUACUGCCCUGCUGCCCUGCAGCCCUGCUGCCCUGCAAGGCCUGCAGCCCGGUCACCAGUGUCACCCACCCGGCCUUUAAGGUUUCUGAGCAGACACUGGACCCUGACCUGACUGGACGCUGCCUCCUCCGGCUCCCUCUCACUUACAGGACUUAUUAUCCAAAGUCAUUGAACUAUCUUCACUGACUGUUCUACAGGACAGAAGGCAUUUCUGCUAAUUAAUGAAAAUAUUUUGCAACUAUCCCUGGACCGAAGUUUCAAGACAUAGCUUUGAAAACGUGAACUUCAGUUGUUUCUCAAAUAAUUUUCCUUUCACUUUAAAAUCAAGGUAUUUGUAAUACCAAAGAAAACAACACAAAGAAGCAAAGUGUAAUAAAUGUUAAAAGGGGUGUUUUUUUCCA
rnacentral:lncRNA from 1 species